ACUCAUUCCUCACUCAUCCCUCCACACCCUCCCUGACCCCCGCCUGCCGGGGGCUCCCGGCACACGCCGCAGCUCCGGCACCCUCCCCUUGGGAAGCCCGAGGAGGAAGGCGACCAAUGUCACCUGCCCGGGCCACGCGAGUAACUUCUGAAAAGUUCUCAGGCAACUAGGUCAAAAGGAAACUCAGCCGCGGGCACGCGCGCCCCGUCCCUCUGCCACCUGCGCCCAGCUUUGGGACGCCUGGACAUCUCGGGGCCAAACCCUGGCUACUUACAGUGGCCUGCUGCCUUCUCUGCUCCCGCCAAGACCUUCCCUAGGCUCGCAGCCAACUCCCUGUACUACUAGGCAGAGGAAAGUGUGUUCUAGCAGUCAACUCCUCUCUUGGGAGCCCACCCGAGUGCUCGUCUGCCCACAGCAGGGCCAGUCCGACCCAGUACCUAGAGCGCUGUUCUCUCCCGUUCUCACUGCACCGCCUGGAAUGUUUCACCCUCUCUCUGCUCACCUGAGGGAAUCCCGACGACGCCUAGGAUAGCUCAGAAAGUACUGCCUCCUCCGGGAAGCCUUCGUGGAAGCUCGACCCUCCCCCUCUCAGCCCUGCUCCCGCUGCAUUCUGGGUUCUUCUGACUGUCCUAGAUGAAUGCUGUCAGUGGUUUGCAGUUUUUGGUGACCCAACAAUCUUGGCCCCACCAGUCCUCCUCUUUGUCACCAGCAGAGGGGUUCAUUGUUUUGGAGAUCAGGUCUUCUGUACCCCAGACUGGCCUUCAGCUCCUUGCGCAGUUGAGAAUGGCUUUGGGUUCCUGGUUCUCUGGCCUCCAACUCCUGAGGGCUGGAACUGCAGGCAGCUCUGGUGGCUUAAAAUGACAUCGAACUGGAUAGACACUUGGGGAUGAGCGUGAACAACUGACCUCCUGCCUCCACCUCUCAAAUGCUGGAACUACAGGGAUGUAAUACCAUGUACGGCUGCCAUGUUUACCUUAGAGAGCCUGAGUGGCGAAGGCUCUGUUCUCCAUUAUAGUAUAAAGUCAUCAUUUUCUUUAA